GGGGGAUAUUGCACAAUGGGGGAAACCCUGAUGCAGCGACGCCGCGUGAGCGAAGAAGAUCUUCGGAUUGUAAAGCUCUGUCUUAGGGGACGAUAAUGACGGUACCCUGAGAGGAAGCCACGGCUAACUACGUGCCAGCAGCCGCGGUAAUACGUAGGUGGCAAGCGUUGUCCGGAAUUACUGGGUGUAAAGGGAGCGCAGGCGGGCAGACAAGUUGGAAGUGAAAAUCAUGGGCUCAACUCAUGACCUGCUUUCAAAACUGUAUGUCUUGAGUGGUGCAGAGGUAGGCGGAAUUCCCGGUGUAGCGGUGGAAUGCGUAGAUAUCGGGAGGAACACCAGUGGCGAAGGCGGCCUACUGGGCACUAACUGACGCUGAGGCUCGAAAGUAUGGGUAGCAAAC
rnacentral:rRNA from 1 species